GAGCUUGGUAGAUAGAGCACGGGAUUCUUAAUCUCGGGGGCGUGGGUUCGAGCCCUACGUUGAACA